rnacentral:lncRNA from 1 species
CACAACAAAAUUUGGUUCACCAAAAUUGGAGCUACCAAACUCUAGAUAUGAAUUUUCAAACAUUCAACAAAACAUCUACAAACAAGUCCUUAUAGCACUAUUCACCUGAGUCACAGUCUCUGCAAUUAGACCCCUGGGAAACAUCAAAUUGUCGCCCGAAGUCCCUGGCCGCGACUGAAAACAGAGGAACUCGCCGGAGAUCGUGGUUUCGGCGCUGGAGUGCUCGUCGGCGGCAUUGGAGCAGCGGGGAAGCUCGCCCGGACUAGUGCGCACCUGAUGGUGGCCGUAGCUUGUCCUGCAAUGGCUCGAGGUGGCCUGUCCACGUUGAGGUGCUCCUCGGCGGCGUUUUCAGCCGGAGCUGAGGAAGAAAGACGGCGCCCGGGCGAUUGAGAGGGGCAGGGAGGGUUCCUGGGCGUACACGGGGUUCGCAAGGAUAUGGCGAAGGUGUUGGAGAACUCGAAUUGGCCAGAGGGGUUGCGUGUAGAGGGUAUUGGACGGUGGAGCUUCACUGGGUGCUUUCGGUCGCCGGAGUAAGUGAGCUCGAGGUCGGCCGCGCAGGCGCUCAAGAGGUCGAGACGCAGAGGUCACGGGCGUCCACGUCGCGCGGUGACGCGGCCGGCAAGCAGCUGCGUGGCGGCGAGGCGCGCACGCGGCGCUGCACGGCCUGCGGCCGCGCGGUGACUGGACUCGUGAUCCAUAUCCGGAUACUGUAGCAAGCUUUAUCCAACCAGUUUUGUGGUUUUGCAAAAUUCGUCCAAAAUUUGAACUGAAGACAAAAUUCCACCAAAACAAAAGUUAUUCAGAAUUUUACAAACUACAAAUCUUCUUUUGGUGACCAAAGCCAAUUCUGGGUGGAAAAUGACGAAUUUGACAAAACAGUUUGAAUUUCAAAUCCCAAAUUGGGGAAAUUCCAAAUUUUGAAUUGGAGCAGAUUAGAAUUUCCAAAAUUACUUUUAAUUUUUCCAAACAACUUGAAAAACUCCCAACAUGAAAGUUGUUCAACUUUUUGAGCCCUACAACUUUCAUGUUGACCACUUUUCAAAAUUCCAAAUAGAUUUUGAAUUGGGGAUUCAAAUCGGAAAAGGGAACAAUUUCGGGAAAAUUGUAUUUUCAAAAUUACUUUAAAUUUUGUACUGAAACUUCAAAAACUCAAAACACCAAAGUUGUACAUCUUGACAAGAUCUACAACUUUGCUUUUGAACUCAACUUCAAAUUUUGCUUUGUUUUUUGAAUUGCACAAAAGGGGCAAAUCUAGGUUUUUGAAAUUAGGGUUUCCCCCCUUAAGUCUUUCGGAAAAACUUUCACCCAGGGUUUUAAUCACCAACACAAACAUCCAUACACAAUAUAAGCACACUUUAAUUUCCUAAGCACAAUCAACCAAAAUAACCUUAUUUUAAGUGGAUGCAUAAUAAUGUGCUUAACAAAUAUGCUUUGCAAUGCUUAUGAUGACAUGAUCCAGUUUUAGUGUUUGUAACAUCAGGGAUGUUACAGCCCUUCCCCCUUAAAGAAAUCUCGUCCCGAGAUUUCCAGGGUACUAAAACCCAUGGGGUUAAGUAAUGGAAAAGGAAAUGUGUCAAGCACAUUAACUUUUGAGAAGUUCAUACAACAAUUACGAUUGGUCCGAGAAUUACAACUAAGAUCAACAAGAAGUUGUAAUCAAUCAGGAAUUUUAGAGAAUUCAUACGAAGAUAUGAAUCUCCAAAUGAGCUUCCAAGGAGGAUGAAAGCACACUAACAGUAGAUUAUAGUGGAGCAUGACCAGAGAUCCCGAUGUUUAACGAGGACCCUGUAGUAUUUCCUUAUGGCUGCAGUCCACAGGAGACUACAAGGCUCGACGUUAUAACGUGAUCACGGAUCAUGAUACCUACUAUAGAGUACGGUUACAAUAGCUUUCAAUGACCUAUGUUGGUUAUCCAAGUCAGGGGCUUUAGGUAAUUCCAAAGAGAUAUGGGCAUGGAUUCCCAUAAUAUGAUCCAAAGAGUGAGGUCACCUAAGUUGUGGGUCUAUAAGGGAUCAUGAUCAUAGACUUUGAUAACAGCGAGCGCCCAGCAGUAUUUCCUUAUGGUCGCGAGCCAUAGGAGACCCCAGGUUUCGGCGCUGUUACCUAAGUUAUGGGUCAUGGUACCUUAAGAGGACACAAUCAUAGUGACAUUCAAUCAACAGAAAUGUUGACAAAUGACAUCAAGGAGGUAGCAUGUGUCCGAAUUAGAUGAAAUCAAGGAAGGUCACAUGCAUAACAAAUGAAUCAAGGAUUAGGAUCUUAUGGAGUAAAAGAUUAUCAAUCAGUUAACGAAACCUGGUACAUGAUGAGAUUCAUCAAUAAAACAGCUAUAACGAAUAAUAACUGUUUUUGAAGCAUAAGGAGGGGCUUUUAAGUAUCAUUAUAUUGUCAUGUUAUGCAUGAUAUGCAAUAUGCUCGCCUAUACGUCUUUACAACGUUAGCUAGGAGGUAACUACUUAUAUAGGGCAUACUUUAUACAUUAUCUUUAUUGCUCUGGACGGAAUGUUGCAAGACUUUUGACAAAGCAUUGUUGGAGUAGUUUGAUUCUUCACUCGGCUUGUUGAAGAAAAAUUGAAGUCCCUUUCAAUGCCUUCUAUUUGAGUCGACAGAAAGUCUUCGUAGAACGGGGACAGCAAGCAUAAGAAAAGUUAAGGAGCAUUUAUAAGUCGUUAUCCUCAAAAACUUUUAAUUUGUAAAUUCCUUUUGAAGUUUUUCACAAGUAAUGUUGCAGAAGAUCCAUGUAUGAGCUCUGAUACCAGCUGUGGCAGAACCACCCUAAUUAUAUGGCCCACAUGCACUUGACAUUGUCCUUAAGACCUCUGACUACUGCACAUGAGAGUCAUAUAACUUGGAUAGUCUGUCGGGUGCCCUCGGAGGACCCCGAAUCAUCCACAUUUUAACUCGUACAGGAUCAACAUGGAGUUACCACAACAUUACAACAUUUGUUACAAAAAUAACUUACAUCAGAGUGCGGAAGAUUUAUAACUUAAUUUACAACAUAUGAUGAAGUAUAAACUUAACUAAAUUUCCAAAAGGUGUAUAGAGUAGCGGAAGCAUCUUAGGUGAAGCUUCUAAGGUAGAAGAGGUGGAUAAAUCAUGUCGCGCCCACCGACAUGACCUCCAUUAGCAGACUAAGUCAGCACCUGCAACAGGGGUUAUAAAACCCUGAGUACAAAAGUACUCAACAAGACUUAACCGACUAGAAAAGAGGUGAAGACUCAGGUAUGCAGGCUAUAGGGAUUCAAGGUAAAGCUUUAUCAAGAUAAAGCAUUUCUUUUGCAUAAAAGCUUACUAAGAUUAAACCUACUUUCAAGUUUUAACUCAAGGUUAUCAUUUAUGACUAACCAAAACUAUUAUCAAACUUGCAUAAGCAUACCACAUCUUUCUUAUACCAAAGAUUCACUUGUUACUACGAUGAUGGUGUGAGGAUUGAGGCUCCAUAUCCGAGGAAACACGGCGAUUCGAAUCGAUUAAACCCAGCUGAGGAUUCAGUACCACACGACAUAUGUAGAACUUAAUCUUGCAUAUGUCAACCUGUUUCUAUAGAUCCUCCCAUACAAGAACGGGUCCAGCGUCACCCGAGAGUACAGUACACCACCAUUCUACAGCCAAUCUAGAUGUUUCCCGGUCAUCUCAGAUCCGUAAGGUGGGUACACGCUACUCUCGCCAUCUCUCCACUCCCAGUACGCGGUUAGCCGUUCUCGAGUAUCGGAAUAGCUAUAGGUAAGGCUUACCGCCGCAUGUGGGCUGUACUCAAAGGUCUCAAUCACAACAGGCCAAUCAACGGUACGGUCCUUAAUCGACUCAGUUGGAGACACUACUUUAAGACUCCAUUCUUAAAGCAAGUCCACCGACCGGUCUCAAGUUGAACAUUAUUGACCUUAAAAGUAUUCCACAACAACCCUUCAAACUUUCUCAUUUGAAAACCUAUCUCAUAAGCAGGGCUAAGCAUACUAAGCAUUUUCAUAAAGCGAGUACCAAGGUUAAUAUUGAAAUCAUCAAGGUAGAUAAUGCAGCAAAUAGGAUUCACUCAACUCCUAUUCACCUAAUGCAUCAUAUUAACUCAAGUGAUAUAAAUACUUUAUGAAAAUACAAGGAUAGGGUUUAAUGUCCGGGGCUUGCCUUGGCCGGAAGGGAAGUCCGACAACUCAGCAAAACCAGAUGGAUCCACAAACUCGGAAGCAACCCACUGAGGAUUAGAUUCCUCCGGAGCGUAGUCUACACGUAGAGUUGCAUAUGCAUGAUCAAUGAGAUGUUCAUGACAUGAUAAAGACAGGUUACAAGUUCUUGGAUGAUAACAACAAACAUAACUACCUCGAGUACAACUUACCUUCACGGUAUAGAAAUAAACUAACUUAGCUAUCAAAACAUAGAUUACUACUAAGCAAAUUUUAUCAUUUUCAUGAAGCAAGGCUGUAUAGAUAUCAGGCAACAAAGAUCAUUUAUAUGAAAUAAUCCAUAACCAGGGAGCAUAUCAUGCCAAGUACCCACUGGUUAUCAAUCAAUCCUAAAGAUCAAUCAAAACCUAAUAUGAUUAGGCUUUCUAUUUAUCUUAAUCAAUCCUUAAUUAAAUAUUAAUGGCAGUAAUUAAGUAUUAACAUCAAACAAUAAUUAAGUGCCAAAGGUCAUUGAAAGAUAAUGACCUCAGGUCAUCACCCAAUCCCAAAAGCACUCAAAUUCUAAUUUGGAAAUUAAGCAACUCAUUAUUUAAGUAAAGGCUAGCUAAAAACAAACAACUCUAUUUGCACACAUAACCAGGACAGCAGCAUAUACACAACUUCAUUCAACCAUAAUUAGAGAUCCAAACAUCCAAUAAAGGUGAUAUUAGACUUUCUGGAAAGCUUAUAUAAUUUUCUACAACUUUGUUAUUAUCUUCGAGAACUGAUUUAAUAGAUAACAUGGCCAAACAUUAUGAAUAAACAAUUUUGUCCAGACCUUGGACAGAAUCAGACAUUAAGCUUCAUACAUCUAUAACCAGAGUUCUAGAUCACCAAAAGUCAUGAUCCAUAACAUUUUGGAAAGCUUAUGAAAAUUACUACAAUUCAUCUUUUAUCAUGAAAGCAUGAUUCAUAAGUUUAGUAGGUUGAAAUUGCACAACUACAGAAACUGAUCCAGGAUUUGACAGAAAGAAACCAUUUCUGAAACUUAAAUUUAAACAGACAUCACUCAGAAACUAUAGGGCCAAAUGCCACCAAAAUUUAACACCAGCUAGAUACAUGAAUUCUAUACAACUUUGUUAUAGACAAGUUUCAUAUCCAACAUUAUUUACCUAGAGCAAUUCAUAAGGUUCCAGAAACUGUCCAGAAAUCACUAAUAAUUUAAUUAUAGACAAAUAACAUUUCAUUUAUGUUUCAAACUUGGACCUGGGCAAAACCCAGCUCACCAAUAGUUGAAAUACAUCAAAGAGAUACUAGAAAAUAUCAUGGUCAUCCCUAAAUAAAUUCUUUUUAUGUCUUUAUUAAUUUAUUUAGAUAAACAGACAAAGUAAUAACCAUAUAUCAAAAGUACACAAUAAAAUCUGAGAAAACUACAGAAGCACAUAUAUGCUCUCCAAAGUCUACUGUAUAAAUUUCAUACCAUUUGUAUAAGUAUAGCAAUUUCCAUGAAAAAGAUAAAUUUCCAUCACAAGAAAGCAUGUAGCAUCAAGAUAAAUAAGAAACUCGACAUUUUCUACAAACACAUAGCUAAAUUAUGUAUCUGUAUGAUAUAAAGACCUCAUAUAAAGGCAGUGGAACCAUAUUUUACAUUUAUUUAUUUUUAGUUUAAUUUUAAACUAUUUAAUAAGCAUUAAACAAGAUAAAUUAAUAACUUAACCAUAUAUCAUCUACUGAACAUGAAAUUUUUACUGCAACAUUCACAUAACAUCAUGAGAACACCAUAAAAAUUUCAGGGCAAUAGGAUCUAUACAGAAUAAGAUAUGAAUUUCUCCUUUUUAAACAUAAUUAAAAGGCAUAAAUCAUAACCAAUUAUUUUACUACAAAACAUGGUCAGUUUCAUAUUUUUAAUAAAAACUAGACAUCUCAAGGAGCACAACAAAAUUUGGUUCACCAAAAUUGGAGCUACCAAACUCUAGAUAUGAAUUUUCAAACAUUCAACAAAACAUCUACAAACAAGUCCUUAUAGCACUAUUCACCUGAGUCACAGUCUCUGCAAUUAGACCCCUGGGAAACAUCAAAUUGUCGCCCGAAGUCCCUGGCCGCGACUGAAAACAGAGGAACUCGCCGGAGAUCGUGGUUUCGGCGCUGGAGUGCUCGUCGGCGGCAUUGGAGCAGCGGGGAAGCUCGCCCGGACUAGUGCGCACCUGAUGGUGGCCGUAGCUUGUCCUGCAAUGGCUCGAGGUGGCCUGUCCACGUUGAGGUGCUCCUCGGCGGCGUUUUCAGCCGGAGCUGAGGAAGAAAGACGGCGCCCGGGCGAUUGAGAGGGGCAGGGAGGGUUCCUGGGCGUACACGGGGUUCGCAAGGAUAUGGCGAAGGUGUUGGAGAACUCGAAUUGGCCAGAGGGGUUGCGUGUAGAGGGUAUUGGACGGUGGAGCUUCACUGGGUGCUUUCGGUCGCCGGAGUAAGUGAGCUCGAGGUCGGCCGCGCAGGCGCUCAAGAGGUCGAGACGCAGAGGUCACGGGCGUCCACGUCGCGCGGUGACGCGGCCGGCAAGCAGCUGCGUGGCGGCGAGGCGCGCACGCGGCGCUGCACGGCCUGCGGCCGCGCGGUGACUGGACUCGUGA